UACGAAGGGGGCUAGCGUUGCUCGGAAUUACUGGGCGUAAAGCGCACGUAGGCGGAUUGUUAAGUCGGGGGUGAAAUCCUGGAGCUCAACUCCAGAACUGCCUUCGAUACUGGCGAUCUCGAGUUCGGGAGAGGUGAGUGGAACUGCGAGUGUAGAGGUGAAAUUCGUAGAUAUCAGGAGGAACACCAAUAGCGAAGGCAGCUCGCUGGGACGGUACUGACGCUAAGGCGCGAAAGCGUGGGGAGCGAACAGG
rnacentral:rRNA from 1 species